UUUCGAACUUAUAUUUUUAUCCCUUAAGGGCGAGAAUGAAGGCGGCAGGUCCUUGUCAGGUGAGACCACAUUCACAACUAAUAACAGAAGUGCCUUUUGAUAAUGGGGCUCGGCCUCUGCCAUUUGAACCCUUGGAUUUCACUGUGAUGGGCUGCAUGAGGCUGACCGCCUCUUUUCUUCCUGCAGACAGAACUGUGUGGAGUUUUACCCAGUAUUUAUGAUUACAUUGUGGAUGGCUGGAUGGUAUUUCAACCAAGUUUUUUGAUACUUGUCUAAGUCUGGUGUACAUAUAUGUCCAUCACCAGUAUUUCUGGGGAUACUCAAAAGCUGCUAAACGAAAAGGAUCACUGGUUUCCGGUUGAGUCUGGGGGUUUUGGCCUUGUUGACUGUCCUAAGCACCGUGGGGAUUGCAAGCAGCUUUCUGGAUGAAUACCUGGACUUCAGUGUUGCCAAGAAACUGAGGCACUUCUAACGUUCCCCCUCCCUUUGCUCAAAGGCUUGCAGAAGAUGUUUCCACUCUAAAGAGCACAGGCUCCGGACACGCAGGCUCAGCGGCCAUGGCUCACAGACCCAGCUGCUCCGCGGCACGUGGGAUCUUACCGGACCGGGGCACGAACCCAUGUCCCCUGCAUCGGCAGGCGGACUCUCAACCACUGCGCCACCAGGGAAGCCCUCUGCCUCAGUUUUUUUCUCAGAAACAAAUCGUUUCUCACCCGUCUUGAUAUGAUGCCACCCUCAACCAAUAAGAUACCAUCUUUCUGGAGGUGAGAGGAAAUUCACCUCCUGGGCUAAAUCAGGCAGAAAUGGCUGAUCACUUUGCAUAUCCUAUUUGUAAAGUGGAAUAUGGUUCAGUAGAGAAUACUAUCAAUAAAGACCAUUAGGCUAAUUUCCCCUAAGACUUGAGUAGGAUUUGAGAGGUUAAAGGCUAUCACUUCUGCUAAGAAACUAUUUCGACAGAUGGGACAUUUCUUGGAUCCACUCUGUAGACUUCCACAUGCUCCAGAUUCUCUGAAUCAUAAUAUGUCGGUGCGAACUGGCCAGCUUCCUGAGUUAGAAAAAGAAAUCAUCCUCCUACUUGCUACUUGGCAAUGAACUUUAUGCAUUUCUCCAACAAAGGCUACUCCUUCAAAUCAGCAAUGACCACUAAGGCAGUUUUAAUGAUGCUGCUUAAAAGUUGACCACAAUAUCAAUGCCAAGUCACUCAACCCUAAUCAGACAUUUGAGUGAGUCCUUCUUUACACGUUUCCGGGAAAUUUCUAUACCAGUCAAGAGAAUAGAAAUGUCACCCUUAGAACCCGUCAGUGUUGUCAAGGGCUAGGAGGUGCACAGAAAUGGAUUUUUCUGUGUCCCUGCUAAUGAUUAAGUCUAUGAAAAAAAAAUAGUUUUUUUCCUGGACAUUUAAAAAAGGUGCAGCAUGGGAGCCAAUCGAUACUAUAAGCAAAUUUGAUCCUACCUGGAACCUGGAUGAGAAACCAGAUGAGAAUAGUGUAACCUUGUUAAGCCUGGCACCCUGGCAGAUAACUGAAGUGUGUUUUUGUCUUCCUGAUGGGGUUAUUGAUUUCUGGGCAGCAAAUAUGUCUCCAUAUUUUCUUUCUUUCUUUAAGAAAGAAAAUUAUGGGAAUUUUGAUUAUGACAAGUUUUUGUGGCUUGAGAUCAAUAUCAUGCUGAAUUGAAAAAUGAAAUGGUUACUGUGGGGAAAGCAGAAAGAUCUGGGGGAGAUCCCUAGAAACGUUUCAGUUUUUUGUUUUGAGCUUAAUUGUAUCUAAGUGGAGUUUUUAAAAAAAGUUCCUGAUUAAACACUGGAUGGUGGUAUAUAUUGCAACUUGCAAUCUUGUUAUGAAGCUUUGUGACCUUAACAACUAAAUUUGUAUUGACUACAUGGCCAAUCUGAUCAACUGUGGUGAAAUGGGUUAUUGAGUUGCUUAUAAAAAAAUUUAAGGGAAAAAUAUUGCUAACUCAGAGAUUGAUUGGAUAGACCCAGAUUACAUAAACAGGCUGCUGGAAACAGA